GAGUUUGAUCGUGGCUCAGAACGAACGCUGGCGGCGUGCUUAACACAUGCAAGUCGAACGCGAAGGGACUUCGGUCCUGAGUAAAGUGGCGCACGGGUGAGUAACGCGUAGAUAACCUGUCUUCAUGUCUGGAAUAAUACGCCGAAAGGGGUACUAAUACCGGAUACUCUUGCUUUAUAUAAGUUUUGCAAGCAAAGGUGGCCUCUGACAUAAGCUACUGCAUGAAGAGGGGUCUGCGUACCAUUAGCUUGUAGGUGGGGUAAUGGCCUACCUAGGCAACGAUGGUUAGCGGGUCUGAGAGGGAUGAUCCGCCACACUGGCACUGGAACACGGGCCAGACUCCUACGGGAGGCAGCAGUGAGGAAUAUUGCGCAAUGGGGGCAACCCUGACGCAGCGACG
rnacentral:rRNA from 1 species